rnacentral:rRNA from 1 species
UACGGAGGGUGCAAGCAUUGAUCGGAAUUACUGGGCGUAAAGGGCGCGUAGGCGGUUGGAAAAGUCAGAUGUGAAAUUCCGGGGCUCAACCUCGGAGCUGCAUUUGAAACUUUCUGACUAGAGUUCAGUUAGGGAAAACGGAAUUCCACAUGUAGCGGUGAAAUGCGUAGAUAUGUGGAGGAACACCAGUGGUGAAGACGGUUUUCUGGGCUGAAACUGACGCUGAGGCGCGAAAGCAAGGGGAGCAAACAGG